rnacentral:rRNA from 1 species
GAUGAGCCCGCGUUGGAUUAGCUAGUUGGUGGGGUAAAGGCCUACCAAGGCGACGAUCCAUAGCUGGUCUGAGAGGAUGAUCAGCCACAUUGGGACUGAGACACGGCCCAAACUCCUACGGGAGGCAGCAGUGGGGAAUAUUGGACAAUGGGCGCAAGCCUGAUCCAGCCAUGCCGCGUGAGUGAUGAAGGUCUUAGGAUUGUAAAGCUCUUUCACCGGGGACGAUAAUGACGGUACCCGGAGAAGAAGCCCCGGCUAACUUCGUGCCAGCAGCCGCGGUAAUACGAAGGGGGCUAGCGUUGUUCGGAAUUACUGGGCGUAAAGCGCACGUAGGCGGAUAUUUAAGUCAGGGGUGAAAUCCCGGGGCUCAACCCCGGAACUGCCUUUGAUACUGGGUAUCUUGAGUGUGGUAGAGGUGAGUGGAAUUGCGAGUGUAGAGGUGAAAUUCGUAGAUAUUCGCAGGAUCACCAGUGGCGAAGGCGGCUCACUGGACCACAACUGACGCUGAGGUGCGAAAGCGUGGGGAGC